rnacentral:rRNA from 1 species
AAACAUAACCUUUAGCCACAAACAAGUAUUAAAGGCAACGCCUGCCCAGUGAACAAUUAAACGGCCGCGGUACCCUAACCGUGCAAAGGUAGCGAAAUCAUUUGUCUAUUAAUUGUAGACCUGUAUGAAAGGCAUAAUGAGGGCCUAACUGUCUCUUAUAAUAAAUCAAUUAAACUGAUCUUUUAGUACAAAAGCUAAAAUACCAACAUAAGACCAGAAGACCCUGUGAAGCUUUAACUAACCUAUUAAACCCAAUAAUAGCUACUUUCGGUUGGGGCGACCUUGGAAAAAAAAGAAACUUCCAAACACGACUAAAACUCGCAAACAGGCCCACAAGCCAAUCAACGACCCGGCACAGCCGAUCAUCGAACCAAGUUACUCCAGGGAUAACAGCGCUAUCUUCUUCAAGAGCCCAUAUCAAAAAGAAGGUUUACGACCUCGAUGUUGGAUCAGGACAUCCUAAUGGUGCAGCAGCUAUUAAG